rnacentral:tRNA from 1 species
GUGGGCGUAGUUCAAUUGGUUAGAGCACCUGGUUGUGGUCCAGGAUGUUGCGGGUUCGAGUCCCGUCGCUCACCCCA